AUCAGAAUAUUUCCUGGGAAUUGUUGCCGUCCUACUCGUUCAUAUGCUUGUGGUAAACUCACAAGUACUUCCAGAAAUUGCAGAUACGAUUGUAGAGUUUAGUUAUACAGAUGGACAAACAAAUCACUUAAGGGAAAAACAAAAUGUGAACAUGGACAUACUAGAAUACAUUGUGAUCAUAGAGGUGAAUGUGUCACAAUUGAUUUUGUUUGACCAAAUCAAAUCAUCACUUGAGUCUAUCAGUCCUUUGCAAAUAGACAACACCACAGAAAUUGAUGAGUUGAACAUUA